rnacentral:rRNA from 1 species
UGGCUCAGGACGAACGCUGGCGGCGUGCCUAAUACAUGCAAGUCGAACGAACUCUGGUAUUGAUUGGUGCUUGCAUCAUGAUUUACAUUUGAGUGAGUGGCGAACUGGUGAGUAACACGUGGGAAACCUGCCCAGAAGCGGGGGAUAACACCUGGAAACAGAUGCUAAUACCGCAUAACAACUUGGACCGCAUGGUCCGAGCUUGAAAGAUGGCUUCGGCUAUCACUUUUGGAUGGUCCCGCGGCGUAUUAGCUAGAUGGUGGGGUAACGGCUCACCAUGGCAAUGAUACGUAGCCGACCUGAGAGGGUAAUCGGCCACAUUGGGACUGAGACACGGCCCAAACUCCUACGGGAGGCAGCAGUAGGGAAUCUUCCACAAUGGACGAAAGUCUGAUGGAGCAACGCCGCGUGAGUGAAGAAGGGUUUCGGCUCGUAAAACUCUGUUGUUAAAGAAGAACAUAUCUGAGAGUAACUGUUCAGGUAUUGACGGUAUUUAACCAGAAAGCCACGGCUAACUACGUGCCAGCAGCCGCGGUAAUACGUAGGUGGCAAGCGUUGUCCGGAUUUAUUGGGCGUAAAGCGAGCGCAGGCGGUUUUUUAAGUCUGAUGUGAAAGCCUUCGGCUCAACCGAAGAAGUGCAUCGGAAACUGGGAAACUUGAGUGCAGAAGAGGACAGUGGAACUCCAUGUGUAGCGGUGAAAUGCGUAGAUAUAUGGAAGAACACCAGUGGCGAAGGCGGCUGUCUGGUCUGUAACUGACGCUGAGGCUCGAAAGUAUGGGUAGCAAACAGGAUUAGAUACCCUGGUAGUCCAUACCGUAAACGAUGAAUGCUAAGUGUUGGAGGGUUUCCGCCCUUCAGUGCUGCAGCUAACGCAUUAAGCAUUCCGCCUGGGGAGUACGGCCGCAAGGCUGAAACUCAAAGGAAUUGACGGGGGCCCGCACAAGCGGUGGAGCAUGUGGUUUAAUUCGAAGCUACGCGAAGAACCUUACCAGGUCUUGACAUACUAUGCAAAUCUAAGAGAUUAGACGUUCCCUUCGGGGACAUGGAUACAGGUGGUGCAUGGUUGUCGUCAGCUCGUGUCGUGAGAUGUUGGGUUAAGUCCCGCAACGAGCGCAACCCUUAUUAUCAGUUGCCAGCAUUAAGUUGGGCACUCUGGUGAGACUGCCGGUGACAAACCGGAGGAAGGUGGGGAUGACGUCAAAUCAUCAUGCCCCUUAUGACCUGGGCUACACACGUGCUACAAUGGAUGGUACAACGAGUUGCGAACUCGCGAGAGUAAGCUAAUCUCUUAAAGCCAUUCUCAGUUCGGAUUGUAGGCUGCAACUCGCCUACAUGAAGUCGGAAUCGCUAGUAAUCGCGGAUCAGCAUGCCGCGGUGAAUACGUUCCCGGGCCUUGUACACACCGCCCGUCACACCAUGAGAGUUUGUAACACCCAAAGUCGGUGGGGUAACCUUUUAGGAACCAGCCGCCUAAGGUGGGACAGAUGAUUAGGGUGAAGUCGUAACAA